rnacentral:rRNA from 1 species
UGGGGAAUUUUGGACAAUGGGGGCAACCCUGAUCCAGCAAUGCCGCGUGAGUGAAGAAGGCCUUCGGGUUGUAAAGCUCUUUUGUCAGGGAAGAAACACCGGCUCUAACACAGUCCGGGAAUGACGGUACCUGAAGAAUAAGCACCGGCUAACUACGUGCCAGCAGCCGCGGUAAUACGUAGGGUGCAAGCGUUAAUCGGAAUUACUGGGCGUAAAGCGUGCGCAGGCGGUAGUGCAAGUCUGAUGUGAAAGCCCCGGGCUUAACCUGGGAACGGCAUUGGAGACUGCAUAACUAGAGUGCGUCAGAGGGGGGUAGAAUUCCACGUGUAGCAGUGAAAUGCGUAGAUAUGUGGAGGAAUACCAAUGGCGAAGGCAGCCCCCUGGGAUAACACUGACGCUCAUGCACGAAAGCGUGGGGAGCAAACAGG